CAUUUCUACACGUCCUGAUUGCUUUGUUUACAGGAACUGCGUCUCGAAACGCUCCAGGCUGAAGCACCGGUGCUGCUAAUAGAGUAAAUUGCAAGUACAUCGCAGCAAUCAUCCCCGCCGCUUUCACAGGAGCCGAGCACUCCCUCUUGAGUAAGCCUCCGAUUUUAAGCCCUGAAAGAGCAGCUUGACACCCUGUGACCUGCCUGUGCUGUAACCUGAUGAAGAGGCAAUGGCAUUUCACAAUGUGUACUCCAUUCACUGCUACCUGCUUAAAAUGUGGAAGGUGGAGGAGUAAGAAGAAAAGACUCCUUUAAAUCUGUAGAAGAACUCUGGUGCCUGUAAGGGCUAUUUAAAGAAGUGAAACCACUUUA